rnacentral:rRNA from 1 species
UGGGGAAUCUUCCGCAAUGGACGAGAGUCUGACGGAGCAACGCCGCGUGAGUGAAGAAGGUUUUCGGAUCGUAAAACUCUGUCUUUUGGGGCGAACGUGAGUAUGGUGAACAAUCAUAGUCAGUGACGGUACCAAAGGAGGAGGCCACGGCUAACUACGUGCCAGCAGCCGCGGUAAUACGUAGGUGGCAAGCGUUGUCCGGAAUUAUUGGGCGUAAAGAGCGCGUAGGCGGGAUAGUCAGUCUGUUGUAAAGUGCGGGGCUCAACCCCGUGAUGGCAAUGGAAACAGCUAUUCUUGAGUGCAGGAGAGGAAAGUGGAAUUCCCAGUGUAGCGGUGAAAUGCGUAGAUAUUGGGAGGAACACCAGUGGCGAAGGCGACUUUCUGGACUGUGUCUGACGCUGAGGCGCGAAAGCCAGGGGAGCGAACGGGAUUAGAUACCCCGGUAGUCCUGGCCGUAAACGAUGGGUACUAGGUGUGGGAGGUAUCGACCCCUUCCGUGCCGGAGUUAACGCAAUAAGUACCCCGCCUGGGGAGUACGGUCGCAAGACUGAAACUUAAAUGAAUUGACGGGGGUCAUAGCUGUUUCCUG